UUCCUCUCGUCCAUUUCCGUUUGGAACUCGAAGGUGGGAGGUUGGUCUGUAACGUAGUUCUCGGUUUAUACUUAACGAUCGUUGCUUCGUACUCGCGUAAAUGUUUCGAUUAAUUACGAUAAAACAAUUUUAUAUAUUCGAUAAGGUCGUUAAUUCGCCUGCUUUAUUCCGCGAUUCGCUAAAUUUUCAUUACAACAACGUAAUACGAGAAAAUGGCUGAAUCAAUAAAGAGUGAAUACGCAAGCCACGUGGCGAAGCAACUUACCGAAGAAGAAAUUGUAAAGAUGGAAGCGCAAAAUUCGCGAUUAGUUCCCGAAUUUCGAGCCAAUCAAUUGGAAAAGGACGCGAAAAAACAUUGGGAUCUAUUUUACAAACGAAACGAUACUAGAUUCUUUAAGGACAGACAUUGGACUACCAGAGAGUUUAACGAAUUAUUGGAUUUGACUAUGAAAAAUGAACAAAAUAUCCUUUUCGAAGUCGGUUGCGGUGUUGGAAAUUUUGUAUAUCCCUUGAUCGAGGAUGGAUUGAAAUUUAAAAUGAUAUUCGCGUGCGAUCUCUCUUCUAGAGCCGUGGAAUUAACGAAGAAUCAUUCGUUGUACGAUCCAGAGAAGAUGAAAAUUUUUCAAACGGAUAUCACGACAGAAAAUUGUUUUUUGGAGGUAGAUUGCCCGGUGAACAUCGCAACGUUAAUAUUCGUUUUAUCGGCUAUUCAUCCGAAAAAGUUUGGGAAAGUCGUAGAGAAUUUAUACAAUAUUCUCGAUAAAGGAGGAAUUGUACUUUUUAGAGAUUAUGGUUUAUACGAUAUGGCUCAACUGAGAUUUAAACCUGGUCACAAGAUCAGUGAAAAUCUCUAUAUGAGGCAGGAUGGUACCAGAGAAAGAAGUGUCAAAUUUAUUUCAAUCAGUUGGCUUUAAAGUACUAACGUGUAAUUAUGUACAAAGACGAACUAUAAACUUCAAAGAAAAAAUUGACGUGCCCAGAAUUUUUGUUCAAGGAAAAUUUGCAAAAUUCUAGUAAUAACGAAAAGGUUCCAUGGAUCGGAGUAAUUGAAGUAUUAUUGCAGCUAUUUAAUUA
rnacentral:misc_RNA from 1 species